rnacentral:rRNA from 1 species
GGAGCAUGAGCGCAGCUGAUGCAGCCAUGCCGCGUGAGUGAUGAAGGCCUUCGGGUUGUAAAGCUCUUUUGUAGGGAGGAAAGUGUCGGUGUUAAUAUGAUAGGGACUUGACCUUUCCUAGCCAAGAAGCACCGGCUUACUCCGUGCCAGCAGCCGCGAUAAUAA